CGAUUCUGUCUAUCAUGAACUAGACAACAGCACCCAAAAGGCUAUCUGCACAAAGCGUCUGGAUUUUCUGAAAAGACAACUUACAAAAGAAGGAGCUGCCUGCACCAUCAUGACAUCGAGCAGCAGAGACUGGCUGCAGGAAAACUUCGGACUCUCCAGCAGCUUUGCAGACUACAAUGAUUUUCUUCACCUGAACCCCUCUUUUAAUGGCUUUGAAGUGCUGGAUUUGCUGACAACAACCCAGAUGGGAACGCUGCUUGUUAUCUCUGGCACCUUAACAGACAGCGCCAGGGUCAGUGCUGAGACGGAGGCAACAAAUGUGAUGGCAACCCUUCAGAGCCGAAGCAUAUCUGAGCUCCAAAGCUUCU